rnacentral:rRNA from 1 species
GCCGCGGUAAUACGUAGGGUGCAAGCGUUAUCCGGAAUUAUUGGGCGUAAAGGGCUCGUAGGCGGUUCGUCGCGUCCGGUGUGAAAGUCCAUCGCUUAACGGUGGAUCCGCGCCGGGUACGGGCGGGCUUGAGUGCGGUAGGGGAGACUGGAAUUCCCGGUGUAACGGUGGAAUGUGUAGAUAUCGGGAAGAACACCAAUGGCGAAGGCAGGUCUCUGGGCCGUUACUGACGCUGAGGAGCGAAAGCGUGGGGAGCG